rnacentral:rRNA from 1 species
GAUGAACGCUAGCUACAGGCUUAACACAUGCAAGUCGAGGGGAAACGACAUCGAAAGCUUGCUUUUGAUGGGCGUCGACCGGCGCACGGGUGAGUAACGCGUAUCCAACCUGCCCAUCACUUGGGAAUAACCUUGCGAAAGUAAGACUAAUGCCCAAUGACAUCCCACGAAGACAUCUGAAUGGGAUUAAAGAUUUAUCGGUGAUGGAUGGGGAUGCGUCUGAUUAGCUUGUUGGCGGGGUAACGGCCCACCAAGGCAACGAUCAGUAGGGGUUCUGAGAGGAAGGUCCCCCACAUUGGAACUGAGACACGGUCCAAACUCCUACGGGAGGCAGCAGUGAGGAAUAUUGGUCAAUGGGCGAGAGCCUGAACCAGCCAAGUAGCGUGCAGGAUGACGGCCCUAUGGGUUGUAAACUGCUUUUAUAAGGGAAUAAAGUGGGUCUCGUGAGACUUUUUGCAUGUACCUUAUGAAUAAGGACCGGCUAAUUCCGUG